CACACAACCAGCCUGCCAUCUAUUUGAGUACAGUUAGAAAAGGAACUAGAACAUUUGCAUUGGCACAGAAUCUCCCACAUGCAAGCCCCAUUAUAAUCAGAAGAUGAUUCUCAGAGCACCAUCUAUUUUAGCUCAAUUUUCUGUUGCUAAAAACAAAACACCACGAACUGGACACAGAAGCCAGGUGCUGAAAGCUGACCGGGUGCCAAGUCUCAGGACUGUCCCAGCCUUCCACCUCAGCUCUGCAGCCGGGCCUUCU